UACGGAGGGUGCAAGCGUUAAUCGGAAUUACUGGGCGUAAAGCGCGCGUAGGUGGUUGAGUAAGUCGGUUGUGAAAGCCCCGGGCUUAACCUGGGAAUUGCAUUCGAUACUGUUCAGCUAGAGUGUGGUAGAGGGAAGCGGAAUUCCGGGUGUAGCGGUGAAAUGCGUAGAUAUCCGGAGGAACACCAGUGGCGAAGGCGGCUUCCUGGACCAACACUGACACUGAGGCGCGAAAGCGUGGGGAGCAAACAGGAUUAGAUACCCUGGUAGUCCACGCCCUAAACGAUGAGAACUAGCCGUUGGGGGAGUUUAAUCCCUUAGUGGCGCAGCUAACGCGAUAAGUUCUCCGCCUGGGGAGUACGGCCGCAAGGUUAAA
rnacentral:rRNA from 1 species